rnacentral:lncRNA from 1 species
UGACAAUUUAUCAUAGAAGACUCCUGGCUUCUGUUUGAGAAAAAAAACAAUUUACUUCAACAGGAGGUAGUCCCUUAUGAGAUACAUCCAGCUGGCCACAGCGGGGGCUGGCCUUGUCGUCUUUACAAGCAGGAUAUGUUCACAUGCCAAAGUCAGUAGAAACAAAAUAGAUGACACAUCCACAGUCUGAAGAAGGAAGAAGAGCUCUGUAGCUCAACAGUACUUUGCAGAACAUGCUCCCAGGACGUGCUGGUGAGAUUGCUACAGAGCCUCAAGGACUUCUCUGUCUUCCUCUGGGUAUUUUUGAUUAUGAAUGUGAGCUGGUUCCUUGCAGCUCACUCCCCGGUCUGGGCAGCCGGAGGGGAACAGCCCUGAGGGUGCUACCCCGCACAGCGUUGGGAGGAGGCAGCUGAUCUGAGCGGCAUCUUGAAGAUCCAGAGGUUGAACUCCUCCUUUUAUUUUUCUGUCCCUGCUGUUUUUCUCUCCUGCACUAUAUACACUUCAAGUAUUUGCUACCAAUUUUUUCUUUGGAUUAGUUAUCAAUAAAAUCUCUUCACCAAAUUGCUCCA